rnacentral:tRNA from 1 species
GCGCGGCCGGAUCGCGGAGGGAAAGAUCGCGGCGCCGGCAGAGCGCCAUGGCGAGUUCGUCGGUCGCGCGGCGCGC